rnacentral:rRNA from 1 species
CAAAGGUUAAGCCAUGCAUGUACACACGAAUUAAAAGUGAAACCGCAAAAGGCUCAUUAUAUCAGUUAUGGUUCCUUAGAUCGUUAACAGUUACUUGGAUAACUGUGGUAAUUCUAGAGCUAAUACAUGCAAUAUAAACACGGACCAAUGGAACGUGUGCUUUUAUUAGGCUAAAACCAAGCGACCUUUUUGGUCGUAUACUGGUUGAACUCUAGAUAACUUGCAGAUCAUAUGGUCUUGUACCGACGCCAGAUCUUGUAAAUGUCUGCCCUAUCAACUUUUGAUGGUAGUAGUUAGGACUACCAUGGUUGCAACGGGUAUCGGGGAAUUAGGGAUCGAUUCCGGAGAGGGAGCCUGAGAAACGGUUACCACAUCUAAGGAAGGCAGCAGGCGCGUAAAUUACCCACUCCCAGCUCGUGGAGGUAGUGACGAAAAAUAACAGUACAGGACUCAUAUACGAGGCCCUGUAAUCGGAAUGAGUACACUUUAAAUCCAUUAACAAGGACCUAUUGGAGGGCCUAUUGGCUGGCAAGAGGGUGCCAGCAGCCGCGGUAACUUCAACUCCAAUAGCGUAUAUUAAAGUUGUUGCGGUUAAAACGUUCGUACUUGAACUUGUGCUUCAUACGGGUAGUACAACUAUAAUUGUAGUUUGUACUAUAACUUAUAUAUGUAUAUAUGUAAGCGUAUUACCGGUGGAGUGCUUAUAAGCAAUUGUAAUACUUGUAUUCUUUGCAUAUUCCUCCUAUUUAAACCUGCUUCAAUGCUCUUCAUCGAGUGUUGUUGUGGGCCGGUACAAUUACUUUGAACAAAUUAGAGUGCUUAAAGCAGGCUCCAAACGCUUCAAUAUUUUGUGCAUGGAAUAAUGAAAUAAGACCUCUGUUCUACUUUCAUUGGUUUUUAGAUCAAGAGCUAAUGAUUAAUAGAAGCAGUUUGGGGGUAUUAGUAUUACGACGCGAGAGGUGAAAUUCUUGGACCGUCGUAACACUAACUUAAGCGAAAGCAUUUGCCAAAGAUGUUUUCAUUAAUCAAGAACGAAAGUUAGAGGUUCGAAGGCGAUCAAAUACCGCCCUAGUUCUAAGCAUAAACGAUGCCAGCUAGCAAUUGGGUGUGUAAAAAUUUAAUUUCGCUACACUAGUGAGUAGGCGCGUUUAAUUUUAUACAUUUUUACACAAGUAUUCCAACAUCGCCUGUAGAAUAUGCAUCCAAAUUUUUGUGGAUUAACCUAGUGUAGUUUAUGAGGAUUUUCGGAUCUUGUUCCUCAGAUAGCAGUUACGUAACCAAUUGUGGAACUUUCUUGCUUGCUUUCUUCUGCGGAGACGACAAAGAUCGUGG